UAAUAUGAGUAAGAAAAAGGAAGUCCCGCUGGAACAGGACUUCCAAUGUAGAGCCGUUUAAGACGGUGACAUAAUUUAACGUUAUUAAAUA
rfam:Lactobacillus ghanensis DSM 18630 NODE_33, whole genome shotgun sequence.